GACGAACGCUGGCGGCGUGCUUAACACAUGCAAGUCGAACGAAGUGGCGAACGGGUGAGUAACGCGUAAUCAACUUGCCCUUCAGAGGGGGACAACAGGUGGAAACGACUGCUCAUACCGCAUACUGAAGGAGGGGAUUGCGUCUGAUUAGCUCGUUGGCGGGUUAACGGCCCACCAAGGCGAUGAUCAGUAGCCGGUCUGGGAGGAGGAACGGCCACAUUGGGACUGAGACACGGCCCCGACUCCUACGGGAGGCAGCAGUGGGGAAUCGUCCGCAAUGGACGAAAGUCUGACGGAGCAACGCCGCGUGAGUGAUGACGGCCUUCGGGUUGGAAAGCUCUUUUAAUCGGGACGCGGUACCGGAAUAGAAAGCCACGGCUAACUACGUGCCAGCAGCCGCGGUAAUUC
rnacentral:rRNA from 1 species